rnacentral:rRNA from 1 species
GUUCUUUUAUUAGGGAAGAAUAAAUGAUGGAAAAAUCAUUCUGACGGUACCUAAUGAAUAAGCCCCGGCUAACUAUGUGCCAGCAGCCGCGGUAAUACAUAGGGGGCAAGCGUUAUCCGGAAUUAUUGGGCGUAAAGGGUGCGUAGGCGGUUAAAUAAGUUUAUGGUCUAAGUGCAAUGCUCAACAUUGUGAUGCUAUAAAAACUGUUUAGCUAGAGUAAGAUAGAGGCAAGUGGAAUUCCAUGUGUAGUGGUAAAAUGCGUAAAUAUAUGGAGGAACACCAGUAGCGAAGGCGGCUUGCUGGGUCUUUACUGACGCUGAGGCACGAAAGCGUGGGGAGCAAACAGGAUUAGAUACCCUGGUAGUCCACGCCGUAAACGAUGAGUACUAAACGUUGGGUAAAACCAGUGUUGAAGUUAACACAUUAAGUACUCCGCCUGAGUAGUACGUACGCAAGUAUGAAACUUAAAGGAAUUGACGGGACUCCGCACAAGCGGUGGAUCAUGUUGUUUAAUUCGAAGGUACCCGAAAAACCUCACCAGGUCUUGACAUGCUUCUGCAAAGCUGUAGAAACACAGUGGAGGUUAUCAGUUGCACAGGUGGUGCAUGGUUGUCGUCAGCUCGUGUCGUGAGAUGUUGGGUUAAGUCCCGCAACGAGCGCAACCCUUAUUGUUAGUUACCAGCACGUAAUGGUGGGGACUUUAGCAAGACUGCCAGUGAUAAAUUGGAGGAAGGUGGGGACGACGUCAAAUCAUCAUGC